CCGGGGUUUCUUUACCAGGUACUGUCAUUAUCAUCCCUGGCGAAAGAGCUUUACGACCCUAAGGCCUUCAUCACUCACGCGGCAUGGCUAGAUCAGGCUUUCGCCCAUUGUCUAAGAUUCCCCA
rnacentral:rRNA from 1 species